AUGGACAUACGCUGCUGACGUCGGUAGCACAGUGAGAGCUUAGCUCUCUGAGGUGACGAGCGGGGGACCCGGGAAAUAAUAUUUGGGAAACUGCCUGGCGGAGGGGGGGAAUUUUUGUAACCGGUAGCUAAUACCCCGAAAGGGGGGAAGGCCAAAGAGGGGGCCCUUUGGGCCUCUUGCCAUCAAAUGUGCCCCGAUGGGGUUAGGUGGUAGGUUGGGUAAUGGCUCACCUAGGCGACGAUCCUUAGUUGGUUUGCCCCGAUGACCAGCCACACUGGAACUCAGACCCCCUCCAGACUCCUACGGGAGGCAGCAGUGGGGAAUUUUGCACAAUGGCCGCAAGCCUGAUGCAGCCAUGCCGCGUGUGUGAAGAAGGCCUUCGGGUUCUAAAGCACUUUCAGCGAGGAGGAAGGUGGUGAACUUAAUACGUUCAUCAAUUGACGUUACUCGCAGAAGAAGCACCGGCUAACUCCGUGCCAGCAGCCGGGGUAAUACGGAGGGUGCAACCGUUAAUCGGAAUUACUGGGCGUAAAGGCCCACGCGGGGCGGUUUGUUAACUCAAAUGUAAAAUCCCCGGGCUCCACCGGGGGAACUGCCUCUUGAAACUGGCAAUCUAGAGUCUCCUACACGGGGGGUAAAAUCUCCGGGGGGACCGGUUAAAUGCGUAGAGAUUUUUGGGAGGGGUUCCCCCGGGGAAAAUAUAUCCCCCCUGGAUCCAAGACAGAUAUUCACGGUGCGAAAGCGUGGUGGAGCCAAGGGGGGGGCCUGCCCCGGGGGACCACUCUUCGUAAAAGAAAUCAAUUUAUUUGAGGGCGUCCCCGUGGGGGGUUUCGUCCGGCCCCAACGCGUUAAAUAAACCGCCUGGGGAGACCGGCCGGAAGGUUAAAACUCCGGUGAAUUGACGGGGGCCCGCACAAGCGGUGGAGCAUGUGGUUUAAUUCGAUGCAACGCGAAGAACCUUACCUACUCUUGACAUCCAGAGAACUUUCCAGAGAUGGAUUGGUGCCUUCGGGAACUCUGAGACAGGUGCUGCAUGGCUGUCGUCAGCUCGUGUUGUGAAAUGUUGGGUUAAGUCCCGCAACGAGCGCAACCCUUAUCCUUUGUUGCCAGCGGUUCGGCCGGGAACUCAAAGGAGACUGCCAGUGAUAAACUGGAGGAAGGUGGGGAUGACGUCAAGUCAUCAUGGCCCUUACGAGUAGGGCUACACACGUGCUACAAUGGCGUAUACAAAGAGAAGCGACCUCGCGAGAGCAAGCGGACCUCAUAAAGUACGUCGUAGUCCGGAUUGGAGUCUGCAACUCGACUCCAUGAAGUCGGAAUCGCUAGUAAUCGUAGAUCAGAAUGCUACGGUGAAUACGUUCCCGGGCCUUGUACACACCGCCCGUCACACCAUGGGAGUGGGUUGCAAAAGAAGUAGGUAGCUUAACCUUCGGGAGGGCGCUUAC
rnacentral:rRNA from 1 species